GACGAACGCUGGCGGCGUGCUUAACACAUGCAAGUCGAACGGAGUGGCGAACGGGUGAGUAACACGUGGGUGAUCUGCCUUGCACUCUGGGAUAAGCUUGGGAAACUGGGUCUAAUACCGGAUAGUGCAAGAUGAGCUCGCGGCCUAUCAGCUUGUUGGUGGGGUAAUGGCCUACCAAGGCGUCGACGGGUAGCCGGCCUGGGAGGGGGUACGGCCGCAUUGGGACUGAGUGACGGACCAGACGCGUACGGGUGGCAGCAGUGGGGAAUAUUGAACAAUGGGCGGAAGCAUGAUGAAGAGGAGCCGCGUGGGGGAUGACGGCCUUCGGGUUGUAAAAUCCUUUCGGCAGGAAAGCGGUACCUGUAUAAGAAGCACCGGCUAACUACGUGCCAGCAGCCGCGGUAAUAC
rnacentral:rRNA from 1 species